rnacentral:rRNA from 1 species
CCAAUAGCGUAUAUUAAAGUUGUUGCAGUUAAAAAGCUCGUAGUUGAAUUUCGGAAUUUGUCGGUUGGUCGGGCUUCACUGUCCGCACUGGCCUGAUAGAUUCCUACCUUCUGAAUAACCAGCAUGCUAUUAAGUUAGUGCGUUGGGGAAGCAGAGCUAUUACCUUGAAAAAAUUAGAGUGCUUAAAGCAGGCUUACGCUUGAAUAGAUUAGCAUGGAAUAAUAAAAUAGGACGGCAUGGUUCUAUUUUGUUGGUUUCUAGGAUCACCGUAAUGAUUAAUAGGGAUAGUUGGGGGCAUUAGUAUUCAAUUGUCAGAGGUGAAAUUCUUGGAUUUAUUGAAGACUAACUUCUGCGAAAGCAUUUGCCAAGGAUGUUUUCAUUAAUCAAGAACGAAAGUUAGGGGAUCGAAGACGAUCAGAUACCGUCGUAGUCUUAACCAUAAACUAUGCCGACUAGGGAUCGGACGAUGUUAAUUUUUUAAUGACUCGUUCGGCGCCUUACG